rnacentral:rRNA from 1 species
AUUGAACGCUGGCGGCAGGCCUAACACAUGCAAGUCGAGCGGAGCGGCGGACGGGUGAGUAAUGCCUAGGAAUCUGCCUGGUAGUGGGGGAUAACGUCCGGAAACGGGCGCUAAUACCGCAUCCUAUCAGCUGAGCCUAGGUCGGAUUAGCUAGUUGGGGGGGUAAAGGCAUACCAAGGCGACGCUCCGUAACUGGUCUGAGAGGAUGAUCAUUGACACUGGAACUGAGACACGGGCCAGACUCCUACGGGAGGCAGCAGUGGGGAAUAUUGGACAAUGGGCGAAAGCCUGAUCCAGCCAUGCCGCGUGUGUGAAGAAGGUCUUCGGGUUGUAAAGCACUUUAAGUUGGGAGGCGUUACCAACAGAAUAAGCACCGGCUAACUUCGUGCCAGCAGCCGCGGUAAUUC